AGAAAAGGGCAAACCGAUCGUGAGGUCGGGACGCAAAGCCAUGGGUCUCCCAUUUUGAGAUCGCCAGGUUACC
rnacentral:ncRNA from 1 species